rnacentral:rRNA from 1 species
AUUGAACGCUGGCGGCAUGCUUUACACAUGCAAGUCGGACGGCAGCACAGAGAAGCUUGCUUCUUGGGUGGCGAGUGGCGAACGGGUGAGUAAUAUAUCGGAACGUACCGAGUAAUGGGGGAUAACUAAUCGAAAGAUUAGCUAAUACCGCAUAUUCUCUGAGGAGGAAAGCAGGGGACCUUCGGGCCUUGCGUUAUUCGAGCGGCCGAUAUCUGAUUAGCUAGUUGGUGGGGUAAAGGCCUACCAAGGCGACGAUCAGUAGCGGGUCUGAGAGGAUGAUCCGCCACACUGGGACUGAGACACGGCCCAGACUCCUACGGGAGGCAGCGGUGGGGAAUUUUGGACAAUGGGCGCAAACCUGAUCCAGCCAUGCCCCGUGUCUGAAGAAGGCCUUCGGGUUGUAAAGUACUUUUGUCAGGGAUGAAAAGGCUUUUGCUUAUAUCAAUAGCUGAUGACGGUACCUGAAUAAUAAGCACCGGCUGACUACUUCCAGCAGCCGGUGUAAUGCUGAUGGUGCGACCUGUAAUCGUAAUUACUGGGCGUGAAUCGAUGGCUGACGGUUCUUGAGCAGUAUGUGAAAUGCCCGGUGCUCACCUGGUAACUGCGUUCUGUGUGUGUGACUUGUGUGGUGUUGUAUGGGGGUGAUUUUUUGUGGUUGUGUG